GACGCCGUUGGAGGCGGCUGGCUGUGUUAAAAGAAAGCUCAAAAAUGCAUGCUGCGCUGCGUCGCGCGGAUUUUUGUAACUUUACAGGUUCAAAUGGGCCGCGCAAAUUACGACACGACGCGACGCGACUGGUACGCAACACGCGCCUGCACUAGGUCGCGCGACGUUGUGGUUGUGGCAGUUUCUCGCGCCGCGCGUGCCUCGUGGGAAACUUGAAGCGGGGAGCGGAAAAGUAGCCCGGCCAUAUGCUCACAUCGGAACGGCGUAUAUGAGCAGUGAGCUUCUGCUGCCAUCAUGGCAGAGAGAGAAUGGGGUGCAGGAGAUCCUAAUGACUCAGCCAAUGGUGACAGUGAGCUAGGUUCAACUGGUGAUGCAGUGAUACGACAACCACCUCCAGGAGGAGCCUGCAGCUCACACACUCUAUGCUGUAACCGAAGCACCAAUUCCUCCAGUUUCUGAUUAAUGGCACGCUGUGACUGGUAUUUGCUCUCUACUGCCUGUUAUGAAGAAAUAAAUGCAUUACAUCAUAGAAGAAAUAGGAGAGCCACCUCCAAGGGAACUGAUUGCAGUGCAUUUCCUUGCUAACUGCCACUUGGAUCUGUUGAAGGCGUGGACAGAUUGCUGAGAAAGUGCGUUACAGCUCAUUAAAAGUGUUAAAGUGAUUGCAAAAAAUACUAAACACUGAGCAAGUGAAAUUUUUUUAUCUAAACAUGAACUGCAAUGCACAGUGCAAUUUAGUUUUUUUUUCUUUUUUGCUACCCAUGAGGAUUUAUUUUGUUUAGCAAGACAGGACUUGUACCAAAUGAUAUGUAUCGUUAUACGUAAUCUUUGCUUACCCAAAAAGGACCACUUCUGAUGAAGAUACAUAUUUUUUUCUUAGAAGUAUAACUUGUGGAUAUUUUGUGUAAUUUUUCAAUACAUUGUAUGUAAAUAUUCUGUAUGGGGAC